UAACACGUGGGGAACCUGCCCCUAAGUCUGGGAUACCAUUUGGAAACAGGUGCUAAUACCGGAUAAUAAAGCAUAUCGCAUGAUCAGCUUUUGAAAGGCGGCGUAAGCUGUCGCUAAGGGAUGGCCCCGCGGUGCAUUAGCUAGUUGGUAAGGUAACGGCUUACCAAGGCGACUAUGCAUAGCCGAGUUGAGAGACUGAUCGGCCACAUUGGGACUGAGACACGUCCCAAACUCCUACGGGAGGCAGCAGCA
rnacentral:rRNA from 1 species